UACGUAGGGACCAAGCGUUGUUCGGAUUUACUGGGCGUAAAGGGCGCGUAGGCGGCUUGACAAGUCACUUGUGAAAUCUCCGGGCUUAACUCGGAACGGCCAAGUGAAACUGUCAUGCUAGAGUGCAGAAGGGGCAAUCGGAAUUCUUGGUGUAGCGGUGAAAUGCGUAGAUAUCAAGAGGAACACCUGAGGUGAAGACGGGUUGCUGGGCUGACACUGACGUGAGGCGCGAAAGCCAGGGGAGCAAACGGG
rnacentral:rRNA from 1 species